rnacentral:rRNA from 1 species
CACGCUGCGUUCCUCAGUCCCCCAGGAUGUAUCCAACGGAAAGCUAUAACACAGCCGAGACUGCUACCUUCAAACCGUCAUUAUCCACCCCGGAAAACUGAUGCUGGCCUGCAAACCGAAGCAAGCUCCGGCAAGCAAGUCUGACUUCAAGCGUUUCCCUUCCAACAAUUUCACGUACUGUUAACUCUCUUUCCAAAGUGCUUUUCAUCUUUCCCUCACGGUACUUGUUCGCUAUCGGUCUCUCGCCAAUAUUUAGCUUUAGAUGGAAUUUACCACCCAAUUUGAGCUGCAUUCCCAAACAACUCGACUCAUUGAAAGUGUAUCACAAAGCGCUGGGCGUCCGCACCAUAUACGGGGGUUUCACCACUAUGCCGCUGUAUUCCAACAGACUUGUGUGCGGUCCAACGCGGAAAACACUUCUAGAGAUUACAACUCGGACACCGAAGGUGCCAGAUUAUAAAUUUGAGCUCUUCCCGCUUCGCUCGCCGCUACU